GUGAGGAAUAUUGCGCAAUGGAGGCAACUCUGACGCAGCCAUGCCGCGUGCAGGAAGAAGGCGCUACGCGUUGUAAACUGCUUUUAACCGGGAAGAAACCCCAGGACGUGUCCUGGGUUGACGGUACCGGAGGAAUAAGCACCGGCUAACUUCGUGCCAGCAGCCGCGGUAAUACGAAGGGUGCAAGCGUUAUCCGGACUCAUUGGGUUUAAAGGGUGCGUAGGCGGAGCGUUAAGUCAGUGGUGAAAUCCUGCAGCUUAACUGUAGACUUGCCAUUGAUACUGGCGCUCUUGAGUGCGCUUGAAGUGGGCGGAAUGUGCCGUGUAGCGGUGAAAUGCUUAGAUAUGGCACAGAACACCAAUUGCGAAGGCAGCUCACUAAGGCGAUACUGACGCUGAGGCACGAAAGCGUGGGGAUCGAACAGGAUUAGAUACCCUUGUAGUCC
rnacentral:rRNA from 1 species